UACGUAGGGAGCAAGCGUUGUCCGGAAUCAUUGGGCGUAAAGCGCGCGUAGGUGGCUUCGUAAGUCCGUUGUGAAAGUCAAAGGCUCAACCUUUGAAAGCCGAUGGAUACUGCGGAGCUAGAGUACGGAAGAGGCGAGUGGAAUUCCUGGUGUAGCGGUGGAAUGCGCAGAUAUCAGGAGGAACACCAAUAGCGAAGGCGGCUCGCUGGGACGUUACUGACACUGAGGCGCGAAAGCGUGGGGAGCGAACAGG
rnacentral:rRNA from 1 species